ACAAAUUGCUGCAGGCAGUGGGGCCAGAAGCCCUUUGGGUUGUGAGCAGCCACAUCAGUGUACUCCCUUCCUUCCCCCCAUUUUCUCUCCACUUUUCCCCCCCUUUCUCAUGUUUUGAGCAUUGUGAGGAGCUGGAUUCAGAUGUGUGGCUUUGUUUUAUUUUAUAGCUUUUCUAUGCUGUUUCUUGAGGAACAUCAGGUAUUCUAGAAGCUGGAAAAAAAUUUUUCACACCAAUAAAUGAAUUGUUGGGAAGAGCUUCAGUUUCACUACAGACAGACCUUUUGCAGGCAGAGACUGAGGAAAGAUUUGCCCUGAAUGUUGGGGUAAUGACCCUUCUCAUACAGGGAUUCAAAACUACAUCCAAAAUGCACAUUCAAAGUAGCAGCUGUGUGGAGAGUGAAGAGAGACUGUGCCCUCAUGCAGCCUCCCUUCUUCCUUGGGAUGUUAAAUCAACAAGCACAUGCAGAGAAAAGGGCAAGAACACCAGCACCACUCCUGUUUCUCAAACUCAGGAAUGUGAUUCUCUUCUGCUUUGCCCAGCUCAUUUUGACAUAAGGAUGUUGAUGUACAGGACCGGGACAUCAGCUAGUGCCAAACCACUGUGCUCAUUACCUGUGGCCAAACCUGACACUCGAGGAGCUAAACUGAAUUACCUGAGCUGGAGGC
rnacentral:lncRNA from 1 species